rnacentral:misc_RNA from 1 species
GUGAAUCAUCAAAUUUUUGAACGCAAAUUGCACUCUCUUCGGGGAGUAUGCCUGUUUGAGGGUCAGCAUAAAAAAAAUCGACAUAUUCGUUGUUUUCGCGGUGACAUUAGUUGGAAAUAGGGUUAACUUAAACCUUUGGGUUUUAAGAGAUUUAAAUUUUUUUUUCCGGUUUCGACGAACGUAACUAUAAUUUAUUUCUUAUUCUGGUUUAAGUUAUCUAUUUUUUUUGGACGUGGCAGUUGAUUUGGUUCCCUUC